GCAACACUGACCUCAUUUCUGCAGGCUCUCGCAGCUUAACCACUGAUUAGGCAAAGAAUUUUAAUGAAUUCAUUGAUUUUUUUGAUUUAGGUAGCCUUCCUAAAGUUGGACAUUGGCUGCUUAACAUUCCGGUACAAUGAAUGAUUUAUCUUCUGAAAUUGAUCUUGACGUGCUUGAUGAAGAAGGAAAACUUUAUACAGCUGAUUCCUUAAACAAUUUAAACAAACUCAAUGUAUGUAUUGAUCCUCAAGAGCUAUUAUCAGAUGAGCUCCCCAGUAUCUCAAUAGACAGUGUUUUGCAAGACACCAAAGAGAGUCCUAUUGACCUACAGGAAUGUACUGAAGCAGACGUGAAGUAGACUGAAACUGCCGGACAGAGAUUUUUCUGAAGAAUUUGUGAUGAGAAAAAUAUAAUGUAGUUUUAUACAGUACUCAUUUAAACAGCUGUCAAGGAUGACCAAAGAAAAUGAACAUUCACCACUGUGUAAAUCUGAAACUAGUGAAAAAUGGCUCAGUUCCUCAAGAUGUCUGUGCAUACUACUCAUAGUUCUUGCAGUUGCUUUGGUGGCCAGUCUUCUUUUGUCUUGUUAUGCUGUCAUUUUAAUGGUGGAAACUACAGAGAAAAUGGAUAUCCUGACCAGCACUGCUUCAGAAGAAAAAUACCUUGCAGAAUUAUCAAGAUGGAGAGAUAUAAUUAAGGCAUUCAUUAACCAGUCAAGAGUUACACCAUUGGCCGUGGCAGAUUAUAAAGAAACACCAUUUUCUCAUAAUUUAACUGAUGACUAAAUGCAGCAGUGAAACUAAAUGCAGAUUAGCAAUUAUAAAGCGGACGCUAUAGGUCUUGAAUUAUCCUUCUUUGAAAGUUGCUCUGCCUCCGCUGUGCUUUGGAUUUAUUGGGAUUGAGAUGGAGUCAGCAAUUUCACAGGGAAUGAUUACCUUUAUUAAAAAUGACACUGAAUAGCAGUAUUAGAGUUACACUGAAUGGGUCAGUGUGUGUCUGAAGACAGCCACUAGCCCUGUGCCUUACACUCAAUACUGCCACGAAGAGAAGCUUUUUGACUCAAAACUGCAACAGCUAUUAUGAGUCAACAAAGGGCUUGCUCAAUUCUCAUUUGUUUUUAAGGAGAAAUCCUUUUUUUUAUUUAAAUACAUACAGAAAGCAAUUCAUAAUAUGUAGCAUUUUCUGUCAAAAAAAGUAAAAGUUAACACUUAACAAACUGUGUUGAAAUCCAAAAGCCUGUAUUAAUUCCACAUUCAUUGCAAUUACAUUGCAUUUAUUUUGUUGUUAUCUAAAGUGAAUUAAAAUGUUAAAAUUGUUUACAUGAUUUUGUAAAGUAUAAUUGUUAGAUGUUUUGCUCACUUUUCAUUGAACCAGAAACCUUAAGGGUUGCACUCCAUCACCAUGAGCACUGAGUCUUCUUUACUUCUUUACUUUAAAAAAGCUGGUAUUGGAUGCUGUCUCAGUAUUGACAUCAUGCAUGGACAUAAUGGUUUGCAUUGCAAAAGUUUUCAAUUCACCUCAAAUGUCCAGCUUUAUGAUGAGGAGAAAAGCUCGUCAACAUUGAAGAAAUGAGUCUUGAAUCUGGCCCUUAUGAAAAAAAUUAGACUGUUGAACAACAUAUUUAGGUUAAUGAAGGACUUUCAUUGCCAGAGAAACUCAUGAGAAGCGAACCACGAAAAGAAAGACACUUGCCAAGCUGAGAAAAAAGUUUGGACAAACUGCACUCCACUUAAUAUUGGCAUUGAAACUGCAUUAUGCUCUUAAACCCAUUUGUGAAAGAAACUGAUUUCAUAAAAGGUAUAGAAACAAAAAGCAGAGGAUUUUCCACUUAAAAAAAAGUAUUUUGUUUGCCUGAUUAAAAGGAAAUAUUGAUCUCAGUAUUUGGGCAAUAGUAGAAGGCGUCACAAAGUUUAGUCCAAAAUAUAGCAGAAAUCAUUUGUGCUCCAACCUGAAAAUAAAUUUAGUUUAUUUGGAGCCUACUAAGAGCAGAUAAAGAGAAAAGUACUGUAGACAUCCCAAACUUCAAAAAGCAUUGACAGGUCUGUCCUGUACACAUUAAUGCUUUGAGCGGGUCAAUAUUAUUAAAAGGAGGUCCAAAUCUCUCUUUACAGUAUACACACAAUUUCAUAUGAUUUUGCCACAACAUCCAUGAGGAAUUAUAGCUAAUCUAAUCUAAUCUAAUCUAACAAACCAAACCAAAAGCUGGUUUAUACUCAGAUAAAUGAUCUAAUUUAUGUACCGAUAAUAUAUAUGUAAUAUUAUCUUGCCUGAAGAAGGGGCCUGAGUUGCCUCGAAAGCUUGCAUAUUGUAAUC